ACAGAGGUGUUGUACUGCUUGGAUAAAACAGUGUCUUAGCAGAUGUAUGGAAUAGAGAAAGCAGAUGUAUAGAAUGGAGAAACCAAAUGGGAUGUGACCAAGCGUGUUCUUAAUUGAUCUCUGCAUUGAUUUCCAUGACUAGAAGGCAUAGGUCAUCCAUGUGACAACACAAUCCUGUAAAUGGGACUAACAUCAGCAAAUUGUAUAUAUGACAAUCAAGG